GCCUGUUAGACCUCGCCGAGGUCUAACAGGCAGGUCACCUCGGAUUGGCAAACCUGUUAGACCUCGCCGAGGUCUAACAGGCAGGUCACCUCGGAUUGGCAAACCUAAACUCCUUCACUGGCAAAAUGUAGAUGCAAAUGAAAUGCCAAAAUUAACAUUUCAAUAUUUGUUUUGUGUGUUUCACCAAUAGCUUCGGAACUAGACGGACCUCAUAUAUAAUUUGCUCUUCAUAGAUGCUGCCAGGCGCCCCUCCGUUAUAUAACGUUUUCUGCCCGGUACGAAAUAGACCGACCAAUAGCAACCCUUUAGGCUAUCUAAUUUGAGGUUGGAUAUACGCAACAUGUAGAGGUGUUUCAACAACAAAGAUGGAAGUUGGUGAACUAAAGACUGUAUAUGCUCACUAAAAGAACGAACGACUACUACUCAAAGAUUUUGAGGAAUAUGUAUUUCUGCAUCACCCGUUCCAAUGCUAUGAUUAGUCGAGGCCUAUCCAAUAGCAUAGCAUCGACCCAUUUUAGAUCGCGCCCUUUAGACACGCCCCUUGGAAAUUGAACAACGCACUUCAACGCAGAGGAUCCAGAAGGAUUCCAUUGGAAGAUAUCGAGGAACAUGAACUUCACCAAUGAAGGAGAGUAACGUUUCCACUUGCUAUAGAAAUUUAGUGAAGCACUAAAUGGUUAAUAAUAAUAAUGAUAAAAUGUGGUCACCAUUUAUUGACUUUUUGGGUAAGACUUGCUUUACUAAUAUAACCGCGUUAAAACCGCAUUAAUUUACUUUUCUUGUGUAGUUUCCCACUAUUCAUUAAAUUUUUUAUAGAAGUAAAAAAGUAAUCAAUAGAACUAUACACAUUUGUACAACAAUUAAUCAUUAUACAGGAUUUGAACAUUUUCUAUUCGAGCUCAUGCUUCAUAAUAUUUCCAAGGAUUGCACCAAAAUGAUUGAGUACCAAAUGAUUUAUGAACAGUUGUUUUUGUUCAGGAGCGGAUUGUACUCCCAGAGGCUUCAACAGAGCGGGUCUGGAGCUGGGAGCUGCAGGUGGAUGGUGCCCAGGAGCCGUUCAGUCCUACAGGAACAGACGGUAGAGGUGAUGGAGGCGGUCGUCUGGAGGUCCGUGGCGGUCGUCUGGAGGUGCUCGUCUGGAGGUCCGUGGCGGUCGUCUGGAGGUGCUCGCCGUGAGGUCCGUGGCGGUCGUCUGAGGCGCUCGCUGCAGGUGGAGGGAAGGCCGGGAGCCGUGCAGCCCAACGGAUGCAGAACGGUGAGACACGGAACUGCACAGCUGCACAUUUUUUCUAGGCUUGGUGAACUGUUUA